CCAUUUUAAAUUUACUUAGGGAAUAUUUCUUUGACCAAAAUGUCGGUCAUUUUGUUCACUUUGCCAUCAAGAAUCUUCAUUUUACUUUGGUCUUUCUUCCGGGAGGAGGCUUUAUAGCCCCCAUGGUGAUGUAGCCUAGUAGCCCCCCCUGUUCGCCCGUCCUGAUGCAUUUUCGACCGGGGGGUAGGGACGUGUCAGAAAAUGCGAAGCCUUGUAAAAGGCGAUCAAUCACAAAGGAAGCCAACCUCGUACCCAGGAUCUUUCUUUGGGAAAGACCCUGGCUGCGGCUGGUCACGUGCUUCAUCAAAAAUUUAGCGCCUGAGGGGGUGUGGGGAAAGUAUCAAAUUACAUCAACAUGCUUCUAGUGG